rnacentral:rRNA from 1 species
CAAUCCGCAACCGGCGAACGGGUGCGUAACACGUGAGCAAUCUACCGAUUUGAGGGGGAUAGCCGGCCCAACGGCCGGGUAACACCGCAUACGCUCACGGCGAGGAGUCUCGCUGUGAGGAAACCUCCGGGGCAAAUCGAGGAGCUCGCGGCCUAUCAGCUAGUUGGCGGGGUAACGGCCCACCAAGGCGACGACGGGUAGCUGGUCUGAGAGGAUGGCCAGCCACAUUGGGACUGAGAGACGGCCCAGACUCCUACGGGAGGCAGCAGUGGGGAAUCUUGCGCAAUGGCCGAAAGGCUGACGCAGCGACGCCGCGUGUGGGAGGACGCCCUUCGGGGUGUAAACCACUGUUGCCCGGGACGAAUGCCCCUUUCGAGGGGAGUGACGGUACCGGGUGAGGAAGCACCGGCUAACUCCGUGCCAGCAGCCGCGGUAAUACGGAGGGUGCGAGCGUUGUCCGGAAUCACUGGGCGUAAAGGGCGCGUAGGCGGCUUCUUAAGCGUG